rnacentral:rRNA from 1 species
GAGUUUGAUCAUGGCUCAGAUUAAACGCUGGCGGCAGGCCUAACACAUGCAAGUCGAGCGGAUGACGGGAGCUUGCUCCUUGAUUCAGCGGCGGACGGGUGAGUAAUGCCUGGGAAUCUGCCUGGUAGUGGGGGACAACGUUUCGAAAGGAACGCUAAUACCGCAUACGUCCUACGGGAGAAAGCAGGGGACCUUCGGGCCUUGCGCUAUCAGAUGAGCCUAGGUCGGAUUAGCUAGUUGGUGGGGUAAUGGCUCACCAAGGCGACGAUCCGUAACUGGUCUGAGAGGAUGAUCAGUCACACUGGAACUGAGACACGGUCCAGACUCCUACGGGAGGCAGCAGUGGGGAAUAUUGGACAAUGGGCGAAAGCCUGAUCCAGCCAUGCCGCGUGUGUGAAGAAGGUCUUCGGAUUGUAAAGCACUUUAAGUUGGGAGGAAGGGCAGUAAGUUAAUACCUUGCUGUUUUGACGUUACCGACAGAAUAAGCACCGGCUAACUCUGUGCCA